rnacentral:tRNA from 1 species
GGAGGCUUAGCUCAGCUGGUUAGAGCGCAUGCUUCACACGCAUGAGGUCGCGCGUUCGAGCCGCGCAGUCUCCACCA